CCUUAGAUGUUCUGGGCCGCACACGCGCUACACUGAAGGAGGCAGCGUGUACUCCUGGAUCGAAAGAUUUGGGUAACCCGCGAAUCUCCUUCGUGCUAGGGAUUGAGGUUUGCAAUUAUCCUUCAUGAACGAGGAAUUCCCAGUAAGUGCAAGUCAUAAGCUUGCGCUGACUACGUCCCUGCCCUUUGUACACACCGCCCGUCGCUACUACCGAUUGAAUGAUUUAGUGAGGACUUCGGACUGGGACCGAUGCGGCUUUCGGGCUGCGUCGGUAUUCUGGAAAGAUGUCCAAACUGUAUCAUUUAGAGGAAGUAAAAGUCGUAACA
rnacentral:rRNA from 1 species